ACAUGUUAUCCUCUUCUCCACUGUCGACCUCUUCUCCCUUUUUUCUUAUCCCAAUUUAUCCGGUAAGAGGAGUAACGCAGGACACAAUCUCUCAUCCAAACUCCAAUUUAUCCGAGUGAUGCAGCGGUGGAGGCAACGCAACCCAUGCAAAGGGCAGAUGUGUAGCAGACGAGAAGGCUGAAGGAGAGGGAUGUGGCAGCAGAGAACCUCUAAGGAUGCUGUAGACAAUAAGGAGGAGGUAGAGUUUCUUGACGGGAGAGUUACUAGGGAGGUGGAGGAUGCCUUCGACGAAGCAUCCAUUCUUCCCAACGACUUUGAGGGCGACGCAGCGUCGUUGGAAAUCGUAGAAGAUGCAGGAGAUGUUCAUGCCACCGCCGAGGCUAGCGAGGUAGACGUCCACAGUUGAUUUCUUGCUGUUCCGGCCAAGGAUUAUGGAAUAGAUCUUCAUGUAGUAUUAAAAGUCUUCGCCUUGGAGCUUGGCCUCUCUCAAAAAAUAGAGAAGGAAGAAGGUUGAAAGAAAGAGGGACACCGCCACACAGGAAUGGCCUACAUACUUUUCAGGUUACCAACAUGAGGAUCUUGCAUUGCACGUGCUUUUGCCUAUAGUCUACUACAUACUUCAAAUCUUUAAUUUGUGGGAAUGACGUUUUCAUGUCAUGCGAAAAUGCUUUAAAAGGGUACGUAGGAUGGUCAUUUUGAAAAAUUAAUGCAUCAUUGAACGUUUUCUGUC